AACGAACGCUGGCGGCAGGCCUAACACAUGCAAGUCGAGCGAACCCUUCGGGGUUAGCGGCGGACGGGUUAGUAACGCGUGGGAAUAUACCCUUUGGUACGGAAUAGCCUCGGGAAACUGAGAGUAAUACCGUAUGUGCCCUUCGGGGAAAGGAUUAUCGCCAAAGGAUUAGCCCGCGUUGGAUUAGAUAGUUGGUGGGGUAAGUGGCCUACCAAGUCUACGAUCCAUAGCUGGUUUGAGAGGAUGAUCAGCAACACUGGGACUGAGACACGGCCCAGACUCCUACGGGAGGCAGCAGUGGGGAAUCUUAGACAAUGGGCGCAAGCCUGAUCUAGCCAUGCCGCGUGGACGAUGAAGGCCUUAGGGUUGUAAAGUCCUUUCAGAUGGGAAGAUAAUGACGGUACCAUCAGAAGAAGCCCCGGCUAACUCCGUGCCAGCAGCCGCGGUAAUGUCUGUACU
rnacentral:rRNA from 1 species